ACCUGGUUGAUUCUGCCAGUAGUCAUAUGCUUGUCUCAAAGAUUAAGCCAUGCAUGUCUAAGUAUAAGCACUUUAUACCGUGAAACUGCGAAUGGCUCAUUAAAUCAGUUAUCGUUUAUUUGAUAGUACCUUUACCUGGAUAACCGUGGUAAUUCUAGAGCUAAUACAUGCUAAAAACCCCGACUUCGGAAGGGGUGUAUUUAUUAGAUAAAAAACCAAUGCCCUUCGGGGCUCCUUGGUGAUUCAUAAUAACUUAACGAAUCGCAUGGCCUUGCGCCGGCGAUGGUUCAUUCAAAUUUCUGCCCUAUCAACUUUCGAUUGUAAGAUAGAGGCUUACAAUGGUCUUAACGGGUAACGGGGAAUUAGGGUUCUAUUCCGGAGAGGGAGCCUGAGAAACGGCUACCACAUCCAAGGAAGGCAGCAGGCGCGCAAAUUACCCAAUCCCGACACGGGGAGGUAGUGACAAUAAAUACUGAUACGGGGCUCUUUCGGGUCUCGUAAUUGGAAUGAGUACAAUCUAAAUCCCUUAACGAGGAACAAUUGGAGGGCAAGUCUGGUG
rnacentral:rRNA from 1 species